CCGCACACUCCGAGUUCAUCCCCGCCCUUCGCCAAUGACUUGACCACAACAACCUCCACCACCGCACAACAACGUCAUCCUCGGCUGCUUCUCGAUUGGGUUUGGGGAUAAGGACUGCUUCUUCCUCCACCACUAGCAAAAUCGUGGAGGCUCAAGGCCACAUUCUAAGGGCCACCGGCCGGAAGGACAGCCACAGCAAGGUUUGCACCACCAAAGGCCCCAGGGAUCGCAGUAUCAGGCUCGUCGCCCACACCGCCAUUCAAUUCUACGACAUGUAGGACCGGCUUGGAUACGACCAGCCUAACAAGGUCGUCGAUUGGCCGCGCAGGACACGCAGAACGUGAACCUCAAUUUCUCGAUGGUGGAGGCUCCGAGUCCUUUGUUUACUAAUCGGCGAGGCACAAUAGUGGGUAGCAGCGGAGUGGCGAAGCUGGUGAAUAAGAACAGCUCGAAUUUUCUGCAGGUGAGGAUGGUGUUGAGGCCGAAGUUGUUAAUCUUUGUCUGCCGAAAAUUGCCUUUGAUUGAAGUUGGGCUAGAGGCCGAAGUUGUCGGCUAAACCGAUGAAGUUGCAGGUGAGGAUGGUGUGGAGG
rnacentral:lncRNA from 1 species